rnacentral:lncRNA from 1 species
UUAUUGGACAAAUUGUAGAUGGUGGCCCGAUUGCUAAGCCAUUUUACCGAAACCAUGUGUUUUAAAGCAAGUUUAAAUGAAACAUGCACAAUGUCCCCUUUUUAGGGAUAUGUAUAUUUAUUAUUGUUGUGGAAGUUACCUACCACCCAAUCUAACGCCCCUUCCUUAGAUUGUAGCAAGUGGUGCUUGCCGACAAGGCAGCCCAAGAAAGUGAAGGGACCAAGGCGAUUUGACUUUACGCCAUCAAAUUUUAUGCGACCAUC